GGGAGAAUCACUUGAACACAGGAGGUGGAGGUUGCAGAGUGCCAAGAUCACACCCCUGCACUCCAGCCUGGGUAACAGAGCAAGACCCUGUCUCAAAAAAAAAAAAAAAAAAAAAAAAAGAGAAUCUUUCAGGAAGGAAGGAAUGGUUAUGCCAUGUGUGCUGAAUGUUGAUAAGUAAGAUGUGUACCAAUGGUCAUUAACAAACUGAGGACUUUAAACAGAUAUUAAUGCAAAAACAACAGUCCAAAUAUUGCAUAAUGUAAUACUGUAAAAAUACUGACCUAUAUUUUAAAACGAUAUUUUCAAAGUUAUGAGAAGAUGCACAUACCUUGGUCCCACCUGUUCUCAAAUAAACAGCCAAAGUCAAGAUGUUUGUUAUGUCCUCUGCAUGAAACGGCAGCUGGGAAAUGGAUUCUGAAAAGGCAAUUCUAUUAUAACUGGAAGUCCUGUUUAUAUGCAGGUGCAAAGAGUCUACUCUGCCUACUCUGUCAUUCAAAGCUUGGUUGAGAACUGGCUAAAUAAGUGAGAUCACUUCUAUACAAAUAGAAUACCAUGCACAGAUUAUAAAAUGAUUCUAUGUAUGAAACCAUGUGUAUACAUGUAUAUAAUUAGCAAACACCCAAACAGUGGCUCUUUAUGGGCAAUAGGAUUAUGAUCAUAACUGUGGAAUAAAGAAGAGACCCAGAGAACAAGAGUGAGUGCCCACUGGGAAGUGUUCUAAACUGCCAAGUUCUACAACGACGUACCAUCCUCAGUGGUAAGUCUCAUUGUCUUAUGAGCAUAAAGUGGAGUUUUCCAGAGACUAUACAACACACAGUGUUGAACAGACUGAAUGAAGAAGCAAAUAUGAGAAUCCUGACCAGCUUCUAUCAAGCCAUGCAUGAAAGAGAUUUGCAAAGAAUGUAAAGCAAUGUGACUCUUCUAGUUCCAUUAUUUUAGUUUUUGAAAAUAGCAAUUUUUACGAAAUUUGUAUUAAUAUAAACAAACACUAUGUUUAUUGUUGUUAUUCCUAAAUAAUAAAUACGUUUUUUCACUUUGAAUUUCUAAAGUAGCAAAUGCUCAUAGACACACACACAUCAACACAAGCUGUCUUGUGUCCCGUUAUUUUUCAGAGUGUGAAGGAUCCUGAGACCAUAAACUUUGAGAACCGCUACAUCACAGGGUUUGAAAAGUGUGACAACAUUUUCUUCCAGUGUUAGAAACAACGUGGAAUACACCUAAAUUCUUUAAAAGGGAAGCAGCAGCUAUGGGGAAAAGGGUUUAUAUCUGAAGCUAUGAUACAAGCCCAGGUCCCAUCACCUUCAUGCAAGUAAAAGAUUGGGCGUUGGACCACAGAAGAUGGUCUUACGGAAAGCCUGGUUUACUGUAGUUGCUGUGGAGUUGGAGAUGACGCUGCAUCAGAAGGCUGCCUAAUGGUCUCCUUCUGCCUGGCCAUGUCCUUUCAUGCAUGGGGAAAGAUGCCCUGCUGAGUGCAGAAACUGAGGGGGAGUCUGUCUCCUCCAGGCCCUGGGGGAUGCCUUCCCUGGGAGAGACAAAUUUCAGGCUCCAGAAAACUGACCAGUAACCUAACGGCAUUGGCCAUCAUCCGAAAUCAGACCCACUUGGUGUUAAAGAAAUAAGAGCUCAGGUGUGCCUUGCCUGUUUGCAGGGGAGCUCUGCCACCUGUGGAGACAUGCAACAAGUUGACUCCCUGGGUCAUGCAGAAACCAUGUGCCUAAUGCUACAGGGACAGGUUGAGCUCACAAUGAAUUUCCCAGGCGCGAGUCUGGUGCUGGCUAGGUGGCUCUGUCCUUUGCACACAGAGACGUGAUCCCAGUCUAGCUAGGGGCCUCUGCUUCUAGCUUAGUGGGUCAGAGGCUCCUAAGCUUCUUUGGUCCUUUGCCAGUGGGUCUUGCCCCUGACCCUUCCAAAGGAAGCCUCUGUUAGAAAAAUAAAACAAGUGUCUAAUCGAAAUCUCAGAAUACCCCUCAAGAGACAAUAAGAGGGAUCAACAACCUGGGAUUUUCAUUUCACUUAAUGGUAACAAACGAAUCACUUUAAUGAUCCAGAAAAACAAAAUGAAGGUGUUUUUUAGGCAUUGUGCAUCUUCGCUUAUGGAUUAGCCAAUCAGGAAAUAAUCAGAGGGAGCUGGGAGAUGGAUUCAGGGCAGGUCAUUUUUGUUAGUGAAGUAAUUUGUUGCUGUAUUUAUAUUCCAUGUUCUCAAAAGAAUUUGUUAGAUUGUAAAAAUAUACAACAAAAUAAUUAAAACUGAGGAAGUCAACCUGAACCCUCAGAUUUACUGAAAAUAAAGAACAAAGGAUAACUUGGGAGUUUCCAAUGGAGGAAGACAUUUAGCUCCAACAACAAUUACUAACAUCUCUGUGGAACUAUGAACUUGAAUCAGGAAACUGGUUAAAAUGGAAAGGAGAGCUAAUUUCCAGUACAUGAACAUAUGUACACAUGUGACUGUCUAGAUUUCUGUUGAAGUCUUAAUAGUAUAUUCUGGUAAAAAAGAAAAAAAAGAAAGAAAGAAAGAAAAGAAAAAUACCCCCAAAUACUUUCACCCUUAAUUUUCAAUUAAAAUAAUAUAUCUCAAAUAAAUAAAUAGGCCAUCAGGCCUAGGGAUUAAUACUGUUAGAAAAUAAGAAAAAAUUUGGAGUAAAGUCAGUAUGCAAACCAUUUGUAGAUGGAAAGCCAUAUAUUUCACCUUGAUCUUUCUAGCAUCCAGCACAAGGAAAAUAACAUGAUAAGGCAAAUAUUUCCUGAGGUUCAUUAGAUAAAAUCAGACCAUUGGUCACUCCUUGGUGUCAUACAGGCAAGCCUCAAGGCAAGGAGGCAAAUAGGUUCAGCUGUUUAAUUUGACUUUUCUUCCUGAAUUGAUUGGAAGUCCUUUGUUCCUGACUACACAGAGGUGACUUUAACAACUUAGUAAACUUAGUAACAUAUAAAAAUAAACAUCUAGCCGACUAAUGAUCAUCGAAUUUGGUUAUAUGGUUUUUCCCCUUCUUUCUCCCUGGUAAUAUUGUAACUUUAUUUAUUUGUUUAUUUAUUCAUUUGAGACAGAAUCUCUUCCUGUUGCUCAGGCUGGAGUGCAGUGGCACACAGUUCACUGCAGCCUCGAACUCCUAGGCUCAAGUGAUCCUCCUGCCUCAGCCUCCAAAGCAGCUGAGACUAUGGGUGCGCACUACCACGCCUGGCUAAUUUUUUAUUUAUUUUUUCUUAUUGGCUGUAGAGAUAGGGCCACAUUAUGUUCCCCAUACUGGUCUCAAACACCUGUGUUCAAGCGAUCUUCCUGCCUUACCUCCCAAAGUGGCGCCCAGCCCUAAUCCUGACAUUUAAAUAGAAUCUGGCAAAUAGGAAAAGCCUGUGGGAAAGGGGGCAGAAAAACUGAUUCAAAUAGCAGGUGUUAUUAGAACUACUGAGAACUUUAGAACCAGGGAGCUUUGAGUUAUAGUUCUGGCUGUGGCUUAUUGGCCAGGCCAUGCUGGGCAAACUAUUGAACACUGCUGAGCCUUUGCUUGGUCAUCUGUAAAAUGAUCACUGUAAUAGUAUUUACCUCAUAAGGCUGCUAAGAGGAUUAAAUAAAAUAAUGCAUGUAAAAUAUUUAGGAGAGUGCCUUGUCUAUAAUAAGCACUCAAGAAAUACCAGAUUAUGAUACAAAGAACUCUCACUAUACAGAAUCAUUAAAUCCUGAUCACAAUUCUGUCAAUUAAGAGGACAUUUAUUAUUACCUUUUUCUGUGGACUGAAAAAGAGACAUAAUUUGCCUAACACACGCAAAACCGUCUGGUAAAGAGAAGGGUUACCUAUAAUAUAUAAUCUAAAUAUACAUAUAUAAUAACAUAUAAUCUAAAGGAAUGAGCUACUCUGAAGGUCCUGCAAUUCUACCAUUAGAGAUUAAUUUCUUUGUACUAAUCUUUCUUUUAAAAUAUGAAUAAUAACUCAAGAGUGAUAGCAUAUUAGGAGUGUAUGGUUUUAUUGGAGGAAGGUGCUUAUCACAGUCCAUAAUACAUAACCAGAAUGUAGUAACCUUAUUUUGCUUCAUUGUAUUUAUUUUUACAAUGAACUUCUAUUAAUGACAAAGGAUACUGGUUGCUCAUUUACAAUGGUAAUAUGUAGUUAAAAAAAUAAAUGUAUUUGAGAUUUAGAGUUGGUUGACAUAAAUAAGAACAUAAGUUUAAAAAAUUCAGUUGGCAAAUAAAUAAUGCAAUGUCUGAAUACCUGCAGUUUGAAAACUGCAGUUCUAUGGGGUGAAACAUACUCUUGGUCUUGUCUCAUGAGGCGUUCUUUGCUGUGGCAUCUGCUUAAGUUUUUAGUGUCUUUCUUCAGCAUUUCCUGUACUCUAGUCACAUAGGAAUACUUGCUGUUUCCUCUUUUGGGGCUUUUGUUGUCUCUAUAAAAGCUGGUUUCACUAAUUGGAAUGCUCUUUCUUUUCUCACCUCUUUGACAAAUAAAUUUCUGCAAGUCCACUCUGCAAAGCCUUUCCAGACACCAUGGCAACAGCCACCCUCAGCCUUUCUCACCACAUCAAGCAGGGUGGAUCCCUGGUCUAUGGGCCUGUAGCACCUUGCGCUGCUCCCUCGGAGAACAUCCCCACCAGAGGAUGACUUCUUCUGGGUACUCUGCUCUGAGUGUGCUGAUAAAGAAUGUAUAGUCUCAUUUGGCAACUGCACAGUUUUAUAAAUAUUUAUAUCAUCACACUUGUAAUUAUGUUGUUCAAGUCUUCUGUAUCUUUUCCAAUUUGUGUACCAGUGUAAUCUACUAGUGCAUAAAAAUCUACAACUAUUAUUAUGA
rnacentral:lncRNA from 1 species